rnacentral:rRNA from 1 species
UGAAGGACGUGCUAAUCUGCGAUAAGCGUCGGUAAGGUGAUAUGAACCGUUAUAACCGGCGAUUUCCGAAUGGGGAAACCCAGUGUGAUUCGUCACACUAUCAUUAACUGAAUCCAUAGGUUAAUGAGGCGAACCGGGGGAACUGAAACAUCUAAGUACCCCGAGGAAAAGAAAUCAACCGAGAUUCCCCCAGUAGCGGCGAGCGAACGGGGAGCAGCCCAGAGCCUGAAUCAGUGUGUGUGUUAGUGGAAGCGUCUGGAAAGGCGUGCGAUACAGGGUGACAGCCCCGUACACAAAAAUGCACAUACUGUGAGCUCGAUGAGUAGGGCGGGACACGUGGUAUCCUGUCUGAAUAUGGGGGGACCAUCCUCCAAGGCUAAAUACUCCUGACUGACCGAUAGUGAACCAGUACCGUGAGGGAAAGGCGAAAAGAACCCCGGCGAGGGGAGUGAAAAAGAACCUGAAACCGUGUACGUACAAGCAGUGGGAGCACGCUUAGGCGUGUGACUGCGUACCUUUUGUAUAAUGGGUCAGCGACUUAUAUUCUGUAGCAAGGUUAACCGAAUAGGGGAGCCGAAGGGAAACCGAGUCUUAACUGGGCGUUAAGUUGCAGGGUAUAGACCCGAAACCCGGUGAUCUAGCCAUGGGCAGGUUGAAGGUUGGGUAACACUAACUGGAGGACCGAACCGACUAAUGUUGAAAAAUUAGCGGAUGACUUGUGGCUGGGGGUGAAAGGCCAAUCAAACCGGGAGAUAGCUGGUUCUCCCCGAAAGCUAUUUAGGUAGCGCCUCGUGAAUUCAUCUCCGGGGGUAGAGCACUGUUUCGGCAAGGGGGUCAUCCCGACUUACCAACCCGAUGCAAACUGCGAAUACCGGAGAAUGUUAUCACGGGAGACACACGGCGGGUGCUAACGUCCGUCGUGAAGAGGGAAACAACCCAGACCGCCAGCUAAGGUCCCAAAGUCAUGGUUAAGUGGGAAACGAUGUGGGAAGGCCCAGACAGCCAGGAUGUUGGCUUAGAAGCAGCCAUCAUUUAAAGAAAGCGUAAUAGCUCACUGGUCGAGUCGGCCUGCGCGGAAGAUGUAACGGGGCUAAACCAUGCACCGAAGCUGCGGCAGCGACGCUUAUGCGUUGUUGGGUAGGGGAGCGUUCUGUAAGCCUGUGAAGGUGUGCUGUGAGGUAUGCUGGAGGUAUCAGAAGUGCGAAUGCUGACAUAAGUAACGAUAAAGCGGGUGAAAAGCCCGCUCGCCGGAAGACCAAGGGUUCCUGUCCAACGUUAAUCGGGGCAGGGUGAGUCGACCCCUAAGGCGAGGCCGAAAGGCGUAGUCGAUGGGAAACAGGUUAAUAUUCCUGUACUUGGUGUUACUGCGAAGGGGGGACGGAGAAGGCUAUGUUGGCCGGGCGACGGUUGUCCCGGUUUAAGCGUGUAGGCUGGUUUUCCAGGCAAAUCCGGAAAAUCAAGGCCGAGGCGUGAUGACGAGGCACUACGGUGCUGAAGCAACAAAUGCCCUGCUUCCAGGAAAAGCCUCUAAGCAUCAGGUAACAUCAAAUCGUACCCCAAACCGACACAGGUGGUCAGGUAGAGAAUACCAAGGCGCUUGAGAGAACUCGGGUGAAGGAACUAGGCAAAAUGGUGCCGUAACUUCGGGAGAAGGCACGCUGAUACGUAGGUGAAGCGACUUGCUCGUGGAGCUGAAAUCAGUCGAAGAUACCAGCUGGCUGCAACUGUUUAUUAAAAACACAGCACUGUGCAAACACGAAAGUGGACGUAUACGGUGUGACGCCUGCCCGGUGCCGGAAGGUUAAUUGAUGGGGUUAGCGCAAGCGAAGCUCUUGAUCGAAGCCCCGGUAAACGGCGGCCGUAACUAUAACGGUCCUAAGGUAGCGAAAUUCCUUGUCGGGUAAGUUCCGACCUGCACGAAUGGCGUAAUGAUGGCCAGGCUGUCUCCACCCGAGACUCAGUGAAAUUGAACUCGCUGUGAAGAUGCAGUGUACCCGCGGCAAGACGGAAAGACCCCGUGAACCUUUACUAUAGCUUGACACUGAACAUUGAGCCUUGAUGUGUAGGAUAGGUGGGAGGCUUUGAAGUGUGGACGCCAGUCUGCAUGGAGCCGACCUUGAAAUACCACCCUUUAAUGUUUGAUGUUCUAACGUGGACCCGUGAUCCGGGUUGCGGACAGUGUCUGGUGGGUAGUUUGACUGGGGCGGUCUCCUCCUAAAGAGUAACGGAGGAGCACGAAGGUUGGCUAAUCCUGGUCGGACAUCAGGAGGUUAGUGCAAUGGCAUAAGCCAGCUUGACUGCGAGCGUGACGGCGCGAGCAGGUGCGAAAGCAGGUCAUAGUGAUCCGGUGGUUCUGAAUGGAAGGGCCAUCGCUCAACGGAUAAAAGGUACUCCGGGGAUAACAGGCUGAUACCGCCCAAGAGUUCAUAUCGACGGCGGUGUUUGGCACCUCGAUGUCGGCUCAUCACAUCCUGGGGCUGAAGUAGGUCCCAAGGGUAUGGCUGUUCGCCAUUUAAAGUGGUACGCGAGCUGGGUUUAGAACGUCGUGAGACAGUUCGGUCCCUAUCUGCCGUGGGCGCUGGAGAACUGAGGGGGGCUGCUCCUAGUACGAGAGGACCGGAGUGGACGCAUCACUGGUGUUCGGGUUGUCAUGCCAAUGGCACUGCCCGGUAGCUAAAUGCGGAAGAGAUAAGUGCUGAAAGCAUCUAAGCACGAAACUUGCCCCGAGAUGAGUUCUCCCUGACCCUUUAAGGGUCCUGAAGGAACGUUGAAGACGACGACGUUGAUAGGCCGGGUGUGUAAGCGCAGCGAUGCGUUGAGCUAACCGGUACUAAUGAACCGUGAGGCUUAACCUUACAACGCCGAAG